UGCCCACAGUAUGCCUGGAUUUCAUUCUC
rnacentral:sRNA from 1 species